GUCUGUAUGAAGUUGUAUAAAGUCUAACCUGCCCAUUGAAUAAAUUAAAAGGCCGCAGUAUAUUAACUGUGCAAAGGUAGCAUAAUCAUUAGUUUUCUAAUUGAAAGCUUGUAUGAAAGGUUGGACAAAGAAUGCUCUGUUUCUAUUUCUAAAUUUAAACUUAACUUUUAAGUGAAAAGGCUUAAAUAAAUUUAAGGGACGAUAAGACCCUAUAAAUCUUUAUACUAAAUUAUUUUUAAUUGGUUAAUAUUGUAAAUAUAAUAAUAAAAUAAUGUGUGUUAUAUUGGGGUGAUAAGAAUAUAAUAAAUAACUGUUCUAAAAUUAAAACAAAAUUAUUUGUAAUAAUAGUAGAUCCUUUAUUAAGAUCAAAAGUUUAAGUUACUUUAGGGAUAACAGCGUUAUUUUUUUUAAGAGUUCUUAUCGAAAAAAAAGUUUGCGACCUCGAUGUUGAAUUAAAAUUUCUUUGUGGUGUAGUUGUUACAAAAGAGAGUCUGUUCGACUUUU
rnacentral:rRNA from 1 species